AUUGAACGCUGGCGGCAGGCCUAACACAUGCAAGUCGAACGAGUGGCGGACGGGUGAGUAAUGUCUGGGAAACUGCCUGAUGGAGGGGGACAACCACUGGAAACGGUAGCUAAUACCGCAUACCAUCAGAUGUGCCCAGAUGGGAUUAGCUUGUUGGUGGGGUAACGGCUCACCAGGGCGACGAUGCCUAGCUGGUCUGAGAGCAUGACCAGCCACACUGGAACUGCGACACGGUCCAGACUCCUACGGGCGGCAGCAGUGGGGCAUGUUGCGCAAUGGGCGCAAGCCUGAUGCAGCCAUGCCGCGUGUGUGAAGAGGGCCUGGGGGUUGUCAAGUACUUUCAGCGGGGAGGCGUUACCCGCAGAAGAAGCACCGGCUAACUCCGUGCCAGCAGCCGCGGUAAUUC
rnacentral:rRNA from 1 species